AUGGUGGUCAUUCAACCUUGGUUCCAAUGGGUCCAUAUACAGAAUUCCUCUCCAAAGCCAUUUUUCCUGGCCUCUGGGGAGGAGGCAAGCCAGGUCUGCACUUGGACAGGGCCUGAUGCUCCAAAUUUUGCCCUUUUGGAUCUGUGUGAACCUGCCAAGGUGGCCACAGUCUUCAUAGAGGCAGUGUGUCUAGUGAGCAGGUCAGCAGACAAGAAGGCAGACUUCAAAACCUAUAGCAUUUUCUUCUUCCUUUCUUCUUCAGAUGGCAGGAGGCAGGAGAUCCAGCUGAAGAGAAGAGGGUCUGACAGCAAGUUGCUGACCCAGCUUCUAGCACAGCUGCCCUCUUCCACAGAAUGGGAAGAAGGAACCUUUUGUGCCUCUCCGUACCAUCAUCCUCAACACUCGGUAGAAAACAAGCAAGACCCUUCUAUCUUGGAGAAGUCUGGCCACUUGUUCCGCAGAGGCUGCUGUGGAAAGGAGCCAUUCCGCGUGCCAGGAUGAUUGGAGGGAUGAAAUCCUACCUGGGAAACGAGAGCAACAUGGGGAGUAGGCUACAGCCCUGUCCCAGCUACAUGGCCUUGGACAUGUCCUUUAGCCUUCUGGGACCUCUCUUUCUCCGUCUAUCAAACAAGGGGGCUCUAAAGACUUUCCCUCUUCAGUGACCUUGCCUUUACUUGGAGUAAAUGUUGCGGCCAUGGGAGAGGGGGCAGGCUCCUCGUUCUCACGGGUCUUCCGCCAGGCCCAAGGCCUCCCCCAGCCCUGCUACCCCGGAGGGCUCCUCCUAGCCCCUGAAAGAAUCUUCCCUUCCCUCUUAAGGAUUGAUCAUGCUCAGAAAUCAGCCGAUUUGGGGGACCAACAUGAAAAACAAAACCCUACAAGGAAACUUUUUGAUAAGCCCUCCACCUUUACACACACACACACACACACACACACACACAAACACACAUACUCAAUCCCUGACGUGUAAACAUUUUCCCUUCUGUAUGUCAAGCCUAUUUUACCCUUUCUCAUUGCCAGUGUGUUAGGAGAGAAUCCAUUCCCACCACUUCCUUCUAGAGAACUUAGCUAAUCCUCAGUGUUUGGGGGUGACCCUGGGCAUAGGUUGAAGCUAAAGGUCUUUACGUACCUCACCUGCGGCCCAUAAAUGCAGACUCUACCAGCCGAGACUGAGGCAGUGACUGGUUAGCACAGUGCCAGGGUCCAGAUCCUUCGCUCCUCACUCGUCCACCCCCACUGCCUCCUCCAGCCAUAGAUUCGCUCUUCUGUCAUGGUGGUUGCCUGCUCGAGCCUGCCUGUCUGCCUGCCCAAAGUGCUGUGGAUUGUUCUGUUGUGUACCGUGUAUACGUGUGUCCUGACUGUGGUUUACUACAAAUAAACACAACGGUGGACUGCUGACCUCUGACCUCCUGGUGGUUCCUUUUCAAGCCAUUGCUCAAGAAAUCAGGAUCGUCUGAUCAACCGCAGGGCACUGGAGACGAGCAGGCUCGUCUAGACUGUUCUGUAGCCUCGUCACAGGGGCCCACUGCCAGGGGUUCCACUGAUAACGCCAGCACUGGGAAGAAUGGAAAGUCUCUGUUGCCACUUUCCUGGUGUGGCAGGAGGGGGA
rnacentral:lncRNA from 1 species